UUUAUUUUCACGAAUGUGCAAUUUCAUCACAAAAUGUAUCAUUCCUGGCACUAUAUGCUUGAUUGCGAUGCUGAAAAUUAUCAUAAUGUGCAUAUUCUGAACUAUCUAUGAUUCGUAUGUGUUGAUUAUGUGGUUUGAGUUAGCGAAGCUCUUGGUUUACAUGCCAAAGUCACUUGAUUUUCCGUUCCAUUCCAUUGAAAAAAAAUUCGAAAUUAUCGCAUAACUAGCAUUAUUAGCCAUUCUUUAUCUCCCCUGAUAGUCAGUGUCCUCAAAAAUCGUUUGCCUAAGCAACCGCUUUAAUUAUCUACAGAAAAAAAAGAAAAGUAGACUCCGAAAAGGCAAGCAAAAAAGAGAAUAGGGAAAUGUUAAUAGAAGGCAGAAUGAUUAUUGUUCCCCCAUUUGAUUUUUGCAGACGAAGGGACAAAACUUUGCCUGUCGUCUGGCUAUGCCCGGUUCCUGUCGUUUCCAUCCAGCCGCCUAGGGCCCCAAACGGUAGGAAUGCCAGCGGAAAUGCCAAGCGGUAGCGACGACUAAUUGGCAGAGAGUUUAUCCAUACUGAAUGGCAUGAGUUGAGCGGGGUAAAGCGAGGGAAUACAGCGCUAAACGUAGGUGCAAAAUGAAACGGCAAAAAUAGAUUGACCGUGCAAAAACAAGAGAACUGAAAUAAUGGAGAGAGAGAGAGAGAGAGAGCGAUACAGAUCGAGAGUUAGAACGCGUAAGGGAGACGAGUGCGGCGUUCACUGAAUCGGUUAAGAGUACCGCAAGCCCAGUUUUGAAAAGCAGCACGUGACCAUAUGGUCAUGGACGUCGGACUCGGUUCGAUCGGCGAUUAUUUCAGCUAGACCUGGCAGACAAGCCAAAAGAGAGCGCUGCAAAAGACAAAAGCGAGACUGAGGAGAGAGACUGGCCAACAGGUGAGCGAGUUAAUUUGCCAGCAAGACAAAUUGACGGCGAUUGUGAAAAAGCUUUGCUUUGUGUCUGUGUGCGUGCUAAAUAGUUGGGUGAGCAAGAUAGCAGACAUGCGGCGGCAAAUGCCUGGAAACAGAUCAGAAUGCUUUUUGCAGUGGACACUGGCUAAAGAAGACCCCGGCAUUAUGUAUAACGAAGAUGUUACGAGAACAUUAAAUAGUCUGAUAAGAACUUAGCCGAAAGGAGAUCCGAAAUGUAAUUACUUCUGAACAAUGAAUUUUAAAGAACAGGAAAGACUUUCACCUCAAUUAAAACACAUUUCUCAUACCGAUAUUUCACUGUA